GUUUUGCCAAGUUAACCAGCGUUUCGCCUAGCUCCUAUUUUUCCCAGUCUCUGUUUUUUAUUUUUAUUAGCCCUCCUGGUUUUGACCCUUGCCUGUCCUGAUGCCGACUCCGCCUGCCUGACCACUCUGCCGGUUCUGAUCUCGAGCCUGCCUAUCCCCUUGAAUUUGAACCUGUUCACGGAACUCCUGACCUCGAGCCUGCCUAUCCCCUGGUACUGUUUGGCCUCUGACCUGGUUUAUGAACUCUCGCCUGUCCCCGACCUGCCUUUUGCCUACCCCUUUUGGUAUAAUAAAUAUCGGAGCUCAACCAUCUGCCUCCCGUAUCUGCAUUUGGGUCUCACCUUGUGCCCUUUAUAGCAGUGUGAUGUGGUCCAGAUCUUACACCCCUAUCAGCUCAACCACAGCCCUCGCAGCUGCAGUCGUCUGCCCCUGUACCUGCUGCACUGGCCGCGACAGGUGAUACAGAUCUGCCACCCCCAGCAGUUCAGCUGCAGUCUCAGCAGUCCUCUGCUGUGGUAUUUAAUGUACCGACUGCAUCAGUUCCUGAUACACUGGUCGAUUUCCAGAUGGAUACAGAUCUGCCGUGCAUUCCAAUGCCCCUGACAGCCUCACCCAGCAGUGCAUACACUGGGCCUGUCAAGAUUGACAAAGCAGUGAUGGGCGGCUGACAAGGAAAAAUAAAACCUUCUCUCUGCUUCUCUUUUACAUUAGUAUUGUUUUAAAAAUGAAUAUGAACAUAUUUUCUUUGAAUUAGUCAAGGUCUGACAACACUGCAUAUUUUUUUAUUUUGACCAGUUGUCAUUUUCUGCAAAUAAAUGCUCUAAAUGACAAUAUUUGGGAGAAAUGUCAGUUUAUAGAAUAAAACUAAAUGUUAAUUUUACCCAAACACAUACCUAUAAAUAGUAAAACCAGAGAAACUGAUAAUUUUGCAGUGGUCUCUUAAUUUUUUUCCAGAGCUGUAGAUAUGUGGACGAAAGAUAUGUAUUCAUUGAAAGCUAAAGCCCACGGAACCAGAUUCUCGAUAUCCUCCUAUAUAGCUGGCUAGCCAGCAGCCUGGAGAGCAGCGCUGUUAUUGAAGUUUUGGUUUUAUGUCGUGCUGUUUGUGUGUAUACUGGACCAUUACUGGAAUUGUUGUAGGAACCGUGAGUCAACAAAGUUAAAAGUGGAAUGCUCUAAUUUGGCAUUUAGUGGUUAACUGUUGGUCUAAAAUGGAACAUAAAGUUGACGUUACCAAAGUUGGCUUGUUCAUCAUGACUGAAUCAUUAAUUACUUUGGUGUGCCAUCUAAUAGCCCUAUUGCUCCCACCACCCUACACUACAACUCCAUACGUCG
rnacentral:lncRNA from 1 species